rfam:Gossypium arboreum cultivar AKA8401 contig_5919_1, whole genome shotgun sequence.
UGUUAAAAUUUUUAUCCAUUUGUACUGUUAAAAGCUGGUGUGGCUGAUAGAAUAACUAGAACAUGACACAUGGUGCCACGUGUACCUUAUGUUGACAUAUAGGGACCCGUUUUAAUAAUAAAAAUGGAUGAAAUUUUUAACA